rnacentral:rRNA from 1 species
CCUACGGGGGGCAGCAGUGGUGAAUAUUGGACAAUGGGGGAAACCCUGAUCCAGCGACGCCGCGUGCGUGAAGAAGUAUUUCGGUACGUAAAGCUCUAUCAGCAGGAAAGAAAAUGACGGUACCUGACUAAGAAGCCACGGCUAACUACGUGCCAGCAGCCGCGGUAAUACGUAGGGGGCAAGCGUUAUCCGGAUUUACUGGGUGUAAAGGGAGCGUAGGAGGGAGGGCAAGUCUGGAGUGAAAUGCCGGGGGCCAAACCCGGAACUGCUCUGGAAAAUGUGAAGCUGGAGUGCAGGAGGGGUAAGCGGAAAUGCUGGUGGAGCGGUGAAAUGCG